UCAGCUUUACCCGACUAUAAGGUUUUAACUCAGGACAAUCAUUUACUAUUCUUACACUCGUCCUGGAAUCAUUAUUAUUACGGAAAAAAAUAUCAAAUAGAGAAGAGGAUGAGGGUAUAAUUUACGUUAAGGUCUGUCUACAACUAAUUAUUAGAUUAGGACGUCCCUAACAAUUAUUGUCACUCCUGAUUAUUAUAAUUACAUGACAUUGCUCAAUAUCCCCUUACAGUAUAUACUGCACUGCUUGCGUAAAGAACUAAUCCAUCCAGGUUACCUUGAUCGAACAGCACAGAUGUUUUUCUGUUUGUUUGUCGUACUAAAAUGUGGAUAUUGCUUAGCCUGUCAUGUAUUACGGCAUAUUUAAAUCCACGAAGUCCAAUCAGCCCGACUGUUCGCCAAACGAUGCGAAUCGACCGUCUGACCAGCCGACCAACAGGCCACGCCUAUGUCGUGGUAUGACGACCGUUUCUUGUCGGUCUGCGUAACAUAACGCUAGUAUAAUUCGCGCGGCCGUCACCGGUGCAGUGAUCACCGGUGGUUGUUCUGUUGUUAUAGCAUGAGAAACUGCGGACAUUCUCACAGACGUCUUUCUUUUUUAACGCGUCCUUUGAGAUGCUGUGGCGUACCAUGUAGCAGAAUCUACGCUAUAUUGCAACGACGGAUCUGUCCGUCUGUUUUGUUGGCGAGUCGCCUGUUUCUAUAUAUGUGUGCGUGAACAUAAAAGAACACGGCGUCAAAAAGUCGACAGAAUAAGGUAGGAGAAGAAAAUAGCGAGAGGCAGCAAGACUCUUCAGUGGUUGUAAUGACAGCUAUCGUAGGAGUCAAUGUAAAGGUAACGGUAUUAAUGGCAUAGGAAAGAGACGCCAUAGCAAACCGCAAAGCCACCAUGUGUUGCGAACUCACAGCAGCAGCAGCAGCAGUAGUGCUUGCCUUAUGUAAAACAGAUUGCGCGUUCCGAACUCUCGUCCAUUCCUUGCUUUGUUACCUUUCCUUUUCUUCUACUUCAAUUUGCACCUAUUUAUUCCUUUGCUUCGUCCGCCCCCACAAGGGAAAAAUUAUUCGAGCUGUUAAGGCUCCUUCGUAUCCUUUUCAGUUUUUGUUCGACACAGAACCGCUAUCAAAUGAACAGAAAGAAGUUAGCCGCACUCCCGAUCGGAGGUUCUCACAUCAUGCAGAUUUAGAUUCGGAGCGAUUAUGUUAUUAGACAUAAGAGGAGUAGCGCACUAUUCAGGAAAGGCCAGUGAACUUGCUCAGAUUUGAUGUGACUGCGGGCAACAAUGAAAGAAAUAUAGCCAAACUUUUAUAAGAGCGCUAGAAAGUCGUCAACACGUAAAGACUGUUGUCACUGUCAACUCGAAUUUAAUACGUGUAGAGAUCACUUUUUACGUUCGGUGACAGAGACAAAGUGACAUGAUGAAAGGGUUCUGAAAUUUGCUCAUAACCAAAUUGGUUGCCACUCGAUCAGUAGUUUGAAAAAUCCAACAAAGCAAACCAAUUUCUAAACGACAACGAACAAAAUAGCCAGCCUUUGUUCUGGACACGGCAUACAUUCCCCUCAUGAGCUACUGAAUUCUGGGGACUUACGCAGGAUAAAUCCCCAGAACAGGACCACUUCAAAUGACACCUUAUCGACUCAACUGUUCUGGUUUGCUUGAUAAUAACGUACCUGGAACAAAACAAGCAGUUUCAUGUAGCUAAUCCGUCUGCCAAGACGAAGAUUUGUCUGUACUGGCCUACCCGCAUACUCGUUUCACGUUCGCGCAGCAAACGGAUAACUUCUGUUUGGCAAUUUGUGCUCUAUAGUAAAGUGACGGUGCUCCUAACACAGGCUUUGCGCGACAUGUGACGCAUGAGCUUUGCGAUGCUACAAAUGGUAGAGAUUCUAUACUUUCGACUAUAGGCAUAAUUUGAAACUAAAUCGACCCUUGAUGUUUAUGUAGGUCCAAAGGAUAACGCCGACAAGAGCGGCCGUUAGUGCGUCGCUGGUUUUUCGUGACAUCGCAUAUUUCAACGGAACUAGUUGUCCGAACUAUCAUUAUUCGCUGGUGACCUCUCAUUGAUAACGGACCUCAACCGACCGAAGGAGAAGAGGGCAGCUAUGCAAAGGAGUUUUCGCGACUUCGGUGCUUCGUUGAUUCCCACACUCGAGCUAUGACAGAUGAAGAAAUCAUGGGACGUUGUCGACCGCUAAAAACGUGCGAGGAAAAAGACCAGUCUUCCUGGUAACGAGAGCAACAACAUCAACGACUGUCAGCCCAGCCCAAGCACCUACCCUAAAAAUCCUCGUAUUCGGCUACGGUUGCAGAAGUUAGAAGUGAACACAGAAGUGGGGUGAGAUAGGUAUAGUUGCUUAAAAAAAUCGAAUCAUCAUGGGUACCUGUAGACAGCUGUGUGUCAGACGACUAAACAUACCAAAAUGUCUAAAUGGAAAGAUGGACUGUUUCGGUGGAGAUAAAUGAUAAAUGUAGAGAAAGAAUAAAAUUGAUAAUGACUUGCUAAGAACCAAAAUAAGAUCAUCAGACGUUUCUGUGUCGCUUUCUAUCCGAUAUACAAAAAUUAAUGGGUGGCCUUCGAUCAAGGGCAGCCGCUUUUUUAAUUACUCGUUUUUAUCAUAACAAAAAUGUUGUUUCUACAAUUUUUUUGUUGAUGACUCCUUAGAGUGGAGUGUAUUAUAUCAAAAUCAGUUUCAGAAAAGCUGAUUGCGUUUCUUUGUUUUCUUUAAUGGUAAUAUGUUGUCAAAA
rnacentral:lncRNA from 1 species